rnacentral:lncRNA from 1 species
AGAGAGAGAGGGGCCGAUGAUGACGACGGUUCCGCCGGUAUCCAAACCUGCUCGUCGUCGUCAGCAACACACGACGGAGUUUUGAUCAUUGUGGUGGUGGUUGUCUUUGGUAGCCCAGAGUAGGGUCUGUCACGGAAUUAUUGUCAUUGCGGUGGUCUUAGGCGGCGACGGACACGGUUUGUGCCGGAGAGCGAUGAGGCGGUGGUCAAGCGGUUAGGGUUUCGAUCCACUUCCGACGUUGGUUGUUGACGGCGUCCGUUCAUGGGCUCCUAUGGUUAUUAACUCAGAUUUAGGAAAAUUUUCUACCCUGCAAGACACCGCAUCAGAUUGUUGAAGCUGGGUUUGUGUUUUGUGUGGAAUGUGUUUUGUGUAUCCACACACAAAAAAAAGUUACCGGACGGUGGCAAUAGUUAGCCAAUGUGAUCAGGGCAAGACGACGGACGAGGUGAAAGAGUACUAUGAAGUACGAACACGAUUAUCUUGAUGAAGAUGGUGAUGCUAUUGGCGAGGAAUUUGUUGUUAGGGUGAAAAAAGAAGAGUAAGCAGUUGCGAAUUUGGCUUUGGAGUUGUUAGCGACAGUUAUUGGAUAAAAAUGUGGAGAAAAGGACAAGAAGAAUGCGACUCGAUGGACUAAAGAAGAACACUGACGGAAAGUCGGAAACCAUUGCAAGAUAUGGGACAUAGAUUAUAUGGCAAAAAAUGUUGGGUUUAUACUCUCACACCAACCGCUUUAGCAAUCACGGGUCAGCGGGUCAUAGAGUGAUAUAUAUAGUCGGGUGGCGGGUUUGAACGGGUCAAAGAGGCUGGUGAUUUUCAGCAGGUCGUGGAGUUGAAUAUAAAGUCAGAUUUAGUAAAGAGCAGCUGCUUCUCCAGGCGGGAGUGGGACAUCAUUCUUUGAUAACAUAACAACAUCACUGGCGCCAUAUGCGAGCUGGCCUAGAUCUGCUGCGAACAUGAUGAACACACCAUCAACACAACUACAAACUCAGCAACAACACCAGCAACGCUGACCUAUAACUGAAUCCAUGAGCUGACAUCAGCCAAUCGGCUAAAAAACAAGCAUUGACUUUUGGAACUGCAACACUUAAAAGUUUGGUGCAAUGCAAUGUGAGGGAUGAGCACCCUGUUCUUUCAUGUGCACUUCUUCCUAAUAAGAUGGGAUCAUUGCAAUUAGAUCUAGAAUUUGAUGAAGCUGGAGAUUUAAUCUCUUCUAUUAUUGGUAUACGUUAUGUAUCUCACUGGUACUAUGUUGGUCACAAUGGGCAUUCAAAUAUGCAAGAUGAUUCGUGUCCUUAUGUUAUUAUUGCUUUGCGUUAUCAUGAAUCCUCUAUGUUUUACACUUGACAUG